rnacentral:rRNA from 1 species
CCUACGGGUGGCAGCAGUGGGGAAUAUUGCACAAUGGGGGAAACCCUGAUGCAGCGACGCCGCGUGAAGGAAGAAGUAUUUCGGUAUGUAAACUUCUAUCAGCAGGGAAGAAAAUGACGGUACCUGACUAAGAAGCCCCGGCUAACUACGUGCCAGCAGCCGCGGUAAUACGUAGGGGGCAAGCGUUAUCCGGAUUUACUGGGUGUAAAGGGAGCGUAGGCGGUUUAGCAAGUCAGAAGUGAAAGCCCGGGGCUCAACUCCGGGACUGGUUUUGAAACGGUUGAACUAGAUUGCAGGAGAGGUAGGUGGAAUUCCUGGUGUAGCGGUGAAAUGCGUAGAUAUUAGGAGGAACACCGGUGGCGAAGGCGGCCUGCUGGACUGCAACUGACGUUGAGGCCCGAAAGCGUGGGGAGCAAACAGGAUUAGAUACCCUAGUAGUC